AUGAGGCUCCGCUGUCCUGUCCAGCAGAGGCAAAGGAACAUUUAUUUCUAAUUCAUUUCCUUCAGCCACAGACACAAAAUUUGCAAGAUUGUGAAGGAGACUUGGGUACGGGCUGGAUGGUGUGUUAGGGAUUUCACUCUCUACAUUGGCUCCCUUGGGACAACAUUCUUACUUUUCAAAGCAUACGAAGUCACCAAGAACAAGAAUGAUCUCAAUCUCUGCAUUGAAAUUGUGAGGGCUUGUGAUACUGCUUCACGAGAAUCAGGACAUGUGACAUUCAUCUGUGGUCGGGCUGGUGUGUGCACCCUUAGUGCCGUGGCUGCAAAGAACAUUGGGGAUCAUGCACUGCUCAACCACUACCUAUCUCAGUUCAAAGCGGU